GGAGGGGGGUGCGGUCUAUCAGAUAGUUGGUGAGGUAACGGCUCACCAAGUCUAUGACGGAUAGCCGGUCUGAGAUGAUGUCCGGCCGCAAUGGGACUGAGACACGGCCCAUACUCCUACGGGAGGCAGCAGUGGGGAAUCUUGCGCAAUGGGCGAAAGCCUGACGCAGCGAUCCCGCGUUGGAGGAUGACACCUUACGGGGCGUAAACUNCCUUUUUUGGUGGAAGACGAAAGAGGUACACCAAGAAUAAAGGACGGCUAAUUACGGGCCAGCAGCCGCGGUAAUACGUAGGUCCUAAGCGUUAUCCGGAUUUACUGGGCGUAAAGCGUCUGCAGCUGGAAAAAUAAGUCUGUUUUCAAAUACUGUGGCUCAACCAUAGAAAGGGAAUGGAUACUGUCUUUCUAGAGGUUAUUAGAGGUUAGUGGAAUUUCCGGUGGANCGGUGAAAUGUGUUGAUAUCGGAAGGAACGCCAAAAGCGAAAGCAGCUAACUAUAAUAAACCUGACGGUCAGAGACGAAAGCUUGGGUAGCAAACGGGAUUAGAUACCCCGGUAGUCCAAGCCGUAAAUUAUGCUUGCUAGAUGUUUUCUCCAUUUUGGAGGGAGUGUCGUAAUCUAACGAGUUGAGCAAGCCGCCUGGGUAGUAUAUACGCAAGUAUGAAACUCAAAGGGAUAGGCGGGGGAACACACAAGCAGUGGAUUGUCUAGAUUAAUUGGAUAAUAAGCCAAAAAUCUCACCUAAACUUGACAUGUACUGUGUCCUAUGUGAAAGCAUAGUAGUCCGAGCAAUCGGACACGGUAUACAGGUGGUGCAUGGUCGUCGUCAGCUCGUGCCGCAAGGUGUCUAGUUAAGUCUAGGAACGAGCGCAACCCU
rnacentral:rRNA from 1 species